rnacentral:lncRNA from 1 species
GUCCCUUUUGAAAUACUUAGAAACCCUCACGUUUCACUUUGUUUCCCUUUUGAAUUCCACACGAAAUUCCACACACCAAUCUGACUAAGUCCAAACUCCAAAGGCACCUAUUUAUAGCACAUAGGCAGCCUUUGGCACUUGACAACACAUCGACACUUGUUGUCUACAACUUUUGCCACUUGACGAGCUAAUGCUAAAUCUAUUCCUAUCUUGUAGUUGACAUCCCCAACUACAUAGGCCAUGAUCUACACGAAAUCUUAGUGGAUACAAGCAUAAAGCAGACAUGGGUACAAGUAGUAACAAAAAAGGUAACCGCCAACUAUUUUGGCAUGUGCUCUUUGACUUGGUCAGUUGUUGCACGCCCAAGGCUGGCAUUGCGCCCAGCCUUGGCUCUUUAGAUAUUGCUUCGUACUAAUGUCUUGUCUGUAACCUGCCGCCCAUGACUUUGCCACACACGCCCGACGCCACUGCCGCCUGCACAUGCCUUGGCCGAGUUUCUGCCUUGCCCAUGUCAACCCUUGUUUCCCCGUGCCAUUGCUUGUAUUUUGCUUCACAUAGCCUUGCCUUAGCUAUCUAAAGCCUUUGCCAUCAUCCCGCACUGCUUUGCCUUAGCUUAGCCCGCACUUGGCAUUGCCACAACCCAAAGUGCCCGUGCCACUAACUUUGGCGCGCAUGCCAUGCCAUGCCGCCCUAACUUGCCCACACUGCCUUGUCAAGCCUUUGUCAAGCAUGUCUUGCCUGCCCCAAGACCUUGGCCAAUUCUUGCCCACAACAACCCUCAUAACAAUGUCUUGCCCAACCCAUUUCCCGCAUGAUCGUUUUGCCUGCACAUAUACCAAUGGCAAGGCCAUCAUGCCCAAUCCUUGCCACAGCCGCGCCACGCCCGUUGUCAAAGAGUCAGGCCCCUAACAAACCACCUGCACCCUUUGAAAUCGAGGUCCUCGUCGAGCCAACUCAGUUUAUCAUCCCCAAUAAGGGGUUGUUGACAUACAAUGCCCCUGUUGCUCCAUUCACAUCUGCCACAAUGGCAUUUGCCUCCGCCACUUGCUCCUGUUUUUCCGCAGCCAAAAUAGCAUUUACCUUAGCCUGUACCGGAUAGUCCUUCUUCAAGUGCGGUCCACCACAAGUAAAAUAACCUUUGAAUUUGCCUCUUUUCUCUUUGCCAUUGAAAGUCUCCGCCUGCCUUCCAUUCUUGGAAUACCCUUCAUAUUCGGCAGCUUGGCCCUUCCCGCUUUUCUUCCAUUCCCUUGCCUUUAACUUCCUUGCAUUGGACUUUGAAUGCGAAGAUUCAGCCGGGUCAUCACCUAAAUUGAAAUCAGCCAACGCAUCUGCCACUGCAAUAGCAAUAGAGAGGCUUUGAACAUUCUGCCUUCUUAACUCUAAUUGCGCCCAACCCUUCAAUCCGCUUAUGAAGUAAUGCAACUUGUCUUUUUCUGCCAUAUUACUUACAUUCAACAUCAAGGAUGAGAAUUCCUUGACAUACUCCCUCACCGUGCCACUUUGUUUCAAGCUAUGCAGUCCAUCUCUUGCAAUCCAUGACGAGUUGCUUGGAAGGAAUUGAGAUUUUAAUUCCUUCUUCAGCAUCUCCCAAGUUUCAAUCUUGGGCAGUCCAACACUUUCCACUUCCACAGCUCGUGUACGCCACCACACCUUUGCAUCAUCAGUCAAAUACAUAGGAGUGAUGGUCACCUUUUCCUCAUUCGGCACACGAGCAGCCUGGAAAUACUCCUCUAUAUCCAGAAAUUUUCCAACUUGUUGGCACUUCUUGCACCACCAUAAGCCUUUGGUGUCGGAAUCUUCACCUUGGUGCGAUCAUCACUUCUUGGGACAGUAUUUUGCAAUGCUCUUCGAAGUAGAAACACUUCCUCACGCAGUUCUUCCUUUUCCUUGUGUACCAAGGCCAUUUCUUCCGGCGUAGUCUCAUGUCUCGCCGCAGGAUCUGCCUCCAACCGUGCCAUUCUUGCAAGAACAGAAGAAUCAACGCCUAUUUCAAGGGCCUGCCCAACGAGUGCUUCCAACGGUUCCACCCUUUGGCGAAGUUCAGCAUUUGUGCCACCAACCAUGUUCCCAAACAAUACCACAAAAUCUGCUACUGGCCGUCUUGCCACCGCCACGAACCUGCCCUGCUUUGAUACCAAAUGUAACGGGGCGAUUUUUGUCAGCCCAAAGUCACACCCGCGCGGCGGUCAAUUUGUGCACUUGACUCAGCCUUCCCAACACUUAGCCAAAUUUUCAGCAAGUUUGUACUUAGUUCAAUUUUAGGCAGCAAAGUAAAGAGAACACAAUCAAAUGCGGGAAAAUCCCAACCUUUGUAUUAAUUCGGAAACUUACAAAGGAAACCCUCACUUGACUAUUAUCACAAGUCGAUCACAGCCCCACUUUGACAAAGAACACAAGUUGUUCUUUAGCCAACACUAAGACCUUCCCAAUGCCUAGCCCUAGUCCUUUUUGAAACACUUAGAAACCCUCAUGUUUCACUCUUGUUUCCCUUUUGAAUUUCACACGAAAUUCCACACACCAAUCUGACUAAGUCCAAACUGCAAAGGCACCUAUUUAUAGCACAUAGACAGUAUUUGGCACUUGACAACACAUUGACACUUGUUGUCUACAGCUUUUGCCACUUGGCGGGCUAAUGCUAAAUCUGUUCAUAUCUUGUAGUUGACAUCCUCAACUACAUAGGCCAUGAUCUACAUGAAAUGAUAGUGGAUACAAGCAUAAAGCAGACAUGGGUACAAGUAGUUACAAAAAGGUAACCGCCAAUUACUUUGGCAUGUGCAUUGCAUGUGCUCUUUGACUUGGUUAGCUGCUGCAUGCCCAAGGUUGGCAUUGCGCCCAGCCUUGGCUUUUUUGACAUUGCUCCGCAUCAAUGCCUUGUCCGCAACUUGCCGCCCAUGACUUUGCCGCACACGCCCGAUGCCACUGCCGCCUGCACACGCCUUGACCGAGUUUCUGCCUUGCCCAUGUCAACCCUUGUUUCACCCGUGCCACUGCUUGUAUUUUUCUUCACAUAGCCUUGCCUUAGCUAUCUAAAGCCUUUGCCAUCAUCUCGCACUGCUUUGCCUUAGCUUAGCCACAACCCAACGUGCCCGUGCUACUAACUUUGGCGCGCAUGCCAUGCCAUGUCGCCCCAACUUGCCCAUACUGCCUUGUCAAGCCUUUGUCAAGCAUGUCUUGCCUGCCCCAAGAGCUUGGCCAAUACUUGCCCACAACAGUCCUCAUGACAAUGUCUUGCCCAUUGCCCGCAUGAUCGUUUUGCCCGCACAUAGGCCAAUGGCAAGGCCAUCACGCCCAAUCCUUGCCACAGCCGCGCCACG